rnacentral:rRNA from 1 species
GACGAACGCUGGCGGCGUGCUUAACACAUGCAAGUCGAACGGAAAGGCCCUGCUUUUGUGGGGUGCUCGAGUGGCGAACGGGUGAGUAACACGUGAGUAACCUGCCCUUGACUUUGGGAUAACUUCAGGAAACUGGGGCUAAUACCGGAUAGGAGCUCCUGCUGCAUGGUGGGGGUUGGAAAGUUUCGGCGGUUGGGGAUGGACUCGCGGCUUAUCAGCUUGUUGGUGGGGUAGUGGCUUACCAAGGCCUUGACGGGUAGCCGGCCUGAGAGGGUGACCGGCGACAUUGGGACUGAGAUACGGCCCAGACUCCUACGGGAGGCAGCAGUGGGGAAUAUUGCACAAUGGGCGGAAGCCUGAUGCAGCAACGCCGCGUGCGGGAUGACGGCCUUCGGGUUGUAAACCGCUUUCGCCUGUGACGAAGCGUGAGUGACGGUAAUGGGUAAAGAAGCACCGGCUAACUACGUG